CCUUGAGCGCGCGCGCCGUGAUGGGGAAGGAGGUGGCGGCGGAGGUGGGCGUGCGGCUCGCGCUGUUCGCGGCCUUCCUGGUAACAGAGCUGCUCCCGCCCUUCCAGAGGCUCAUCCAGCCCGAGGAGAUGUGGCUCUACCGGAAUCCGUACGUGGAAGCAGAGUAUUUCGCCACCAAGCCGAUGUUUGUCGUCGCCUUGCUGGCCCCGCUGGCCCCGGUCCUCCUGGCCAGGUGUCUGAAGAAGGCGGACGCAGCGGACAGCCGGCAGGCCUGCCUGGCUGCCAGCCUGGCCCUGGCUCUGAACGGCGUCUUCACCAACACAGUCAAACUGAUAGUGGGGAGGCCACGCCCAGACUUCUUCUACCGUUGCUUCCCCGACGGGCAAGCCCAUCAUGACUUGACGUGCACAGGAGAUGAGGACGUGGUGAAUGAGGGCCGCAAGAGCUUCCCCAGUGGACAUUCUUCCUUUGCAUUUGCUGGUCUGGCCUUCGCGUCCUUCUACCUGGCAGGGAAGUUACACUGCUUCACACCACGAGGCCGAGGGAAAUCCUGGAGGUUCUGUUCCUUUCUGUCACCCCUACUCUUUGCAGCUGUGAUUGCACUGUCCCGCACCUGUGAUUACAAGCAUCACUGGCAAGAUGUCCUGGCUGGAUCCGCCAUCGGCCUGACGUUCGCCUACGUCUGCUACAGGCAGUACUACCCUCCCCUGACGGACGCCCAGUGCCACAGACCACUGCAGCGCAGCCCUGCUCUUCCCACCGCGCAAAAGCAGCCCGGCGACCCUCGUCAUUUUGAUGUUUAGACACUGGAGCUGCCUCCCUGGAAAACAGGACUGAAGAUCCGCCCAAAUGUGCCAGCUGUGCCAAGCGGCCAAGGCAGGGCAGGGUAGUCAGAGACACGGCUGUCUGGAGGGCAGGGCUUUGGAUACCAUGAUACAUUUACUUACAAGAAACCAAUAUAAAAAACGAAACACAGCUUGCCUGUCUACACCGCUCUGUCCACCAGGGCCUGUAGGAACCUGAAAGGAGUGUGAAGGACUGUCACAAAGAGAACUGCAAAGACAAUCACACGCUGAGACCUGUGAGAAAGAAAAUACCUGCAGCACAGUGGUGAGCAAGAUGCCUUGGAAACAAUUAGUCUCCAUUCACCCGUCCUCUUCAAGGUGCAUCUCACUUGCACGCUCUGACACUGACUCUGCAACAGCUGUUCCUGGCCCCACAGACGCAGGUUUGUCUUUCAGAAUAAGGAACACUUCCCGCUAGCCAGAUCUACCAACACUGCCUGUGCCGGGAGCCUGUCCCAUAGCGUCCUGCACUACGGGUACCUAAGAAGGCAACGCUGUUUAUGUGCUUGAAGAGGACACUCUUCAAUACUCCCUUCACCCAAGCAGCUGUGGCAGAUGGCUUACACAAAUUCUAUCUCACCAUCAAUGUACCACUAAAACA